GAGAGUAAACAGUGCGUGAAACCGCUCAGAGGUAAACGGGUGGAGUUGAACUGCGAACCCUGAGAAUUCAACUGGUGAGUGUGGUAUGAGCUUGGCAUAAUGGUUGGCUCUACGGGUCUGCUUAGCUGCAGGUCUUCACCUCUUGGUGGAGAUGCGCGAUACACUUGUCAAGUGGUGCGCGCUCGUUGAGUUACUCGGACAUACUCGCCAGUGCACUUUCUCGGGGUGUUCACCACGACCGGCGCCGCUACUUGUCUAAUAUGGUUAAACCGGUCUUGCUUGGUCCUUGUGGCUUUGCUUGAUCGGGAUGGCAGGUAACUCGUUAACUUGUGUGUUGGCCUUGGUUGACAUGCGCUUGGUUUUCGAGUGUAAUCAGCUGACUGUAUUGGUGCUAUGUAGUGCGUCGGAGACGGCGGCUUGUGGUGUGUGCCUGCGUGCCUAUUUGCUGACGGAACCGGGUUUGGUUAUUAUGUUGCCUGUUCUGCAGGCCUGGUGAUGGCCCGGUUUCGCUUGGUGGAUAGGAGCGUGUGUGACACUUAUCAGGGCCUAUAGUCUGUGGUGUUGUGGUAGACUAUCCACCUGACCCGU
rnacentral:rRNA from 1 species